rnacentral:rRNA from 1 species
GACGAGGCGGCGUGCCUAAUCAUGCAAGUCCAGCGGACUCCUACGGGAGUGAGCGGCGGACGGGUGAGGAACACGUGGGCAAUCUGCCCAUUGGACUGGAAUAACGCCUGGAAACGGGUGCUAAGGCCGGAUAGACACAGAAGAGGCCUCUCUUGUGUGGGAAAGAUGCUACGGCAUCGCCAGUGGAGGAGCCCGCGGCGCAUUAGCUGGUUGGCGGGGUAACGGCCCACCAAGGCGACGAUGCGUAGCCGACCUGAGAGGGUGAACGGCCACACUGGGACUGAGACACGGCCCAGACUCCUACGGGAGGCAGCAGUAGGGAAUCUUCCGCAAUGGGCGCAAGCCUGACGGAGCAACGCCGCGUAAGCGAAGAAGGCCUUCGGGUUGUAAAGCUUAGUCACUCGGGAAGAGCGGGUGGGAGAGGGAAUGCUCCCACCGAGACGGUACCGGGAGAGGAAGCCCCGGCAAACUACGUGCCAGCAGCCGCGGUAAU